UAUAAUCUAAAGUUCAUACAUACAUCACAUAUAUCAUGAUUACUUUUAGAUUACUACCGAUUAAAUCUAAUGUAACAUGCUUUUUAGAUUUUAGAAUAAUUUUUAUAUCUAAAUCUAUCUUAUCCUAAAUUACUUUAGAUCUAAUCUAAACUUAUUUAUGAUCAAAAUAAUUUAUAAAAAUAUGUUCGUUCUUCUUCUUCAUGAAACUAGAUUAUAAUGAUACCCCUACACGUCAUAAGAGAACUCAUUGAAUGGAAAG
rnacentral:lncRNA from 1 species